UAGCGAGGGGGGCGAGCGUUGUUCGGAAUUGUUGGGCGUAAAGGGGUGCGUAGGCGGCCUGACAAGUCUGAUGUGAAAUCCCUGGGCUCAACCCAGGGCCUGCAUCGGAAACUGUCGGGCUUGAGUAUGGGAGAGGUGAGUGGAAUUUCCGGUGUAGCGGUGAAAUGCGUAGAUAUCGGAAGGAACACCUGUGGCGAAAGCGGCUCACUGGACCAUUACUGACGCUGAGGCACGAAAGCUAGGGGAGCAAACAGG
rnacentral:rRNA from 1 species